AACGCACAUUGCGCCCCUUGGUAUUCCGGGGGGCAUGCCUGUUCGAGCGUCAUUACAACCCUCAAGCUCUGCUUGGUCUUGGGCGUCACCGGCCCCCGGUGCGCCUCAAAGUCAGUGGCGGCGCCAUCUGGCUCUAAGCGUAGUACAUACUCUCGCUAUGGACGCCCCGUGGAUGCUGGCCAGCAACCCCUAAUUUACCAAGGUUGACCUCGGAUCAGGUAGGGAUACCCGCUGAACUUAA
rnacentral:misc_RNA from 1 species